rnacentral:rRNA from 1 species
AUUGAACGCUGGCGGCAUGCCUUACACAUGCAAGUCGAACGGCAGCGGACCUUCGGGUGCCGGCGAGUGGCGAACGGGUGAGUAAUGUAUCGGAACGUACCUUUCAGUGGGGGAUAACGUAGCGAAAGUUACGCUAAUACCGCAUAUUCUGUGCGCAGGAAAGCAGGGGAUCGCAAGACCUUGCGCUGAUUGAGCGGCCGAUAUCAGAUUAGCUAGUUGGUGAGGUAAAGGCUCACCAAGGCGACGAUCUGUAGCGGGUCUGAGAGGAUGAUCCGCCACACUGGAACGGAGACACGGUCCAGACUCCUACGGGAGGCAGCAGUGGGGAAUUUUGGACAAUGGGGGCAACCCUGAUCCAGCCAUGCCGCGUGAGUGAAGAAGGCCUUCGGGUUGUAAAGCUCUUUCGGCCGGGAAGAAAUCGUAUCAGCUAAUACCUGGUGCGGAUGACGGUACCGGCAUAAGAAGCACCGGCUAACUACGUGCCAGCAGCCGCCGUAACAC